GACGAACGCUUGCGGCGUGCUUAACACAUGCAAGUCGAACGGAAAGGCCCUGCUUUUGUGGGGUGCUCGAGUGGCGAACGGGUGAGUAACACGUGAGUAACCUGCCCUUGACUUUGGGAUAACUUCAGGAAACUGGGACUAAUACCGGAUAGGAGCUCCUGCUGCAUGGUGGGGGUUGGAAAGUUUCGGCGGUUGGGGAUGGACUCGCGGCUUAUCAGCUUGUUGGUGGGGUAGUGGCUUACCAAGGCUUUGACGGGUAGCCGGCCUGAGAGGGUGACCGGCCACAUUGGGACUGAGAUACGGCCCAGACUCCUACGGGAGGCAGCAGUGGGGAAUAUUGCACAAUGGGCGGAAGCCUGAUGCAGCAACGCCGCGUGCGGGAUGACGGCCUUCGGGUUGUAAACCGCUUUCGCCUGUGACGAAGCGUGAGUGACGGUAAUGGGUAAAGAAGCACCGGCUAACUACGUGCCAGCAGCCGCGGUGAUACGUAGGGUGCGAGCGUUGUCCGGAUUUAUUGGGCGUAAAGGGCUCGUAGGUGGUUGAUCGCGUCGGAAGUGUAAUCUUGGGGCUUAACCCUGAGCGUGCUUUCGAUACGGGUUGACUUGAGGAAGGUAGGGGAGAAUGGAAUUCCUGGUGGAGCGGUGGAAUGCGCAGAUAUCAGGAGGAACACCAGUGGCGAAGGCGGUUCUCUGGGCCUUUCCUGACGCUGAGGAGCGAAAGCGUGGGGAGCGAACAGGCUUAGAUACCCUGGUAGUCCACGCUGUAAACGGUGGGUACUAGGUGUGGGGUCCAUUCCACGGGUUCCGUGCCGUAGCUAACGCUUUAAGUACCCCGCCUGGGGAGUACGGCCGCAAGGCUAAAACUCAAAGGAAUUGACGGGGCCCCGCACAAGCGGCGGAGCAUGCGGAUUAAUUCGAUGCAACGCGUAGAACCUUACCUGGGUUUGACAUGGAUCGGGAGUGCUCAGAGAUGGGUGUGCCUCUUUUGGGGUCGGUUCACAGGUGGUGCAUGGCUGUCGUCAGCUCGUGUCGUGAGAUGUUGGGUUAAGUCCCGCAACGAGCGCAACCCUUGUUCACUGUUGCCAGCACGUUAUGGUGGGGACUCAGUGGAGACCGCCGGGGUCAACUCGGAGGAAGGUGGGGAUGACGUCAAGUCAUCAUGCCCCUUAUGUCCAGGGCUUCACGCAUGCUACAAUGGCUGGUACAGAGAGUGGCGAGCCUGUGAGGGUGAGCGAAUCUCGGAAAGCCGGUCUCAGUUCGGAUUGGGGUCUGCAACUCGACCUCAUGAAGUCGGAGUCGCUAGUAAUCGCAGAUCAGCAACGCUGCGGUGAAUACGUUCCCGGG
rnacentral:rRNA from 1 species